rnacentral:lncRNA from 1 species
CACAUAGCAUCUAGAAGUGGGUGGCUAAAUGGAGGAGUAAUGGGCACCAUCUGUGCCUGAUUAGCAGUUGGCGUUGGAAGAAUGGGAGCAUUGGGUGGGGCAGCAUUGUAAGUGAAGUUUGGAUCAAACCGGUGUUGACACAUCGAGACAUAAUGGCCUGGCUAUCUAUAUAGUUGACAGUGGAGACCAUUGCACUGCCAUGAUCGAUCGUGCCCCCGGCCACGAUUGAGACGUGUAGUGAGAGCAUACUCUGAGGAAUGGGU